GACGAACGCUGGCGGCAUGCCUAAUACAUGCAAGUCGAGCGGAGUUGUUUUGAAAGCUUGCUUUCAAAACAACUUAGCGGCGGACGGGUGAGUAACACGUAGGUAACCUGCCUAUAAGACUGGGAUAACUACCGGAAACGGUAGCUAAUACCGGAUAAUUUAUUUCUUCUCCUGAAGAGAUACUAAAAGGCGGAGUAAUCUGCCACUUAUAGAUGGACCUGCGGCGCAUUAGCUAGUUGGGAGGUAACGGCUCACCAAGGCGACGAUGCGUAGCCGACCUGAGAGGGUGAACGGCCACACUGGGACUGAGACACGGCCCAGACUCCUACGGGAGGCAGCAGUAGGGAAUCUUCCGCAAUGGACGAAAGUCUGACGGAGCAAUGCCGCGUGAGUGAUG
rnacentral:rRNA from 1 species